rnacentral:rRNA from 1 species
UACGGGGGGAGCAAGCGUUGUUCGGAUUUACUGGGCGUAAAGGGCGCGUAGGCGGUCAGCACAAGUCAGUUGUGAAAUCUCCGGGCUUAACUCGGAAAGGUCAACUGAUACUGUGCGACUAGAGUGCAGAAGGGGCAACUGGAAUUCUCGGUGUAGCGGUGAAAUGCGUAGAUAUCGAGAGGAACACCUGCGGCGAAGGCGGGUUGCUGGGCUGACACUGACGCUGAUGCACGAAGGCCAGGGGAGCAAACGGG